rnacentral:RNase_P_RNA from 1 species
CGAGCCGGCCGGGCGGUCGCGGCGCGAUCCCAGAUCUCGCCGAGGAACGUCCGGGCUCCGCAGGGCAGGGUGGUAGGUAACGCCUACCUGGGGCGACCCACGGGAAAGUGCCACAGAAAGCAAACCGCCGGGGCCGCGCGAGCGGCACCCGGUAAGGGUGAAACGGUGGUGUAAGAGACCACCAGCGCCCAGGGCGACCUGGGCGGCUCGGUAAACCCCACCCGGAGCAAGGUCAAGAGGGGCCACCAACCGGCGGCCCUGCGCGGACGACCGAGGGCUGCCCGCCCGAGUCCGCGGGUAGACCGCUUGAGGCCGAUGGCGACAUCGGCCCCAGAUGGAUGACCGCCUCCCCGCUGGCCGCGAGGCCACCGGGAGACAGAACCCGGCGUACAGGCCGACUCGUCCG